rnacentral:rRNA from 1 species
UGGGGAAUAUUGUGCAAUGGGGGGAACCCUGACGCAGCCAUGCCGCGUGAAUGAAGAAGGCCUUAGGGUUGUAAAGUUCUUUCGGUAUUGAGGAAGGUUGAUGUGUUAAUAGCACAUCAAAUUGACGUUAAAUACAGAAGAAGCACCGGCUAACUCCGUGGCAGCAGCCGCGGNAAUACGGAGGGUGCGAGCGUUAAUCGGAAUAACUGGGCGUAAAGGGCACGCAGGCGGUUAUUUAAGUGAGGUCUGAAAGCCCCGGGCUUAACCUGGGGAUUGCAUUUCAGACUGGGUAACUAGAGUACUUUAGGGAGGGGUAGAAUUCCACGUGUAGCGCUGAAAUGCGUAGAGGUGUGGAGGAAUACCGAAGGCGAAGGCAGCCCCUUGGGAAUGUACUGACGCUCAUGUGCGAAAGCGUGGGGAGCAAACAGGAUUAGAUACCCUGGUAGUCCACGCUGUAAACGCUGUCGAUUUGGGGGUUGGGGUUUAACUCUGGCGCCCGUAGCUAACGUGAUAAAUCGACCGCCUGGGGGAGUACGGCCGCAAGGUUA